CACGUAGGGCGCAAGCGUUGUCCGGAAUUAUUGGGCGUAAAGAGCUCGUAGGCGGUCUGUUGCGUCCGCUGUGAAAACUCGGGGCUUAACCCCGAGCCUGCAGUGGAUACGGGCAGACUAGAGGUAGGUAGGGGAGAAUGGAAUUCCCGGUGUAGCGGUGAAAUGCGCAGAUAUCGGGAGGAACACCGGUGGCGAAGGCGGUUCUCUGGGCUAUAACUGACGCUCAUGCACGAAAGCGUGGGGAGCAAACAGG
rnacentral:rRNA from 1 species